rnacentral:rRNA from 1 species
UACGUAGGGUCCGAGCGUUUGUCCGGAAUUACUGGGCGUAAAGAGCUCGUAGGUGGUUUGUCGCGUUGUUCGUGAAAACUCACAGCUCAACUGUGGGCGUGCGGGCGAUACGGGCAGACUGGAGUACUGCAGGGGAGACUGGAAUUCCUGGUGUAGCGGUGGAAUGCGCAGAUAUCAGGAGGAACACCGGUGGCGAAGGCGGGUCUCUGGGCAGUAACUGACGCUGGAGGAGCGAAAAGCGUGGGGAGCGAACAGG